UACGUAGGGUGCGAGCGUUAAUCGGAAUUACUGGGCGUAAAGCGUGCGCAGGCUGUUUUGUAAGUCAGAUGUGAAAGCCCUGGGCUCAACCUGGGAAUGGCAUUUGAAACUGGCGAGCUAGAGUGUGAUAGAGGAUGGCGGAAUUCCCGGUGUAGCGGUGAAAUGCGUAGAUAUCAGGAGGAACACCGGUGGCGAAGGCGGUUCUCUGGGCAUUAACUGACGCUGAGGAGCGAAAGCAUGGGGAGCGAACAGG
rnacentral:rRNA from 1 species